GGUGGCUCAGUGGUAGAGAGCUUGCCUUGCAUGCAUGAAGCCCUGGGUUCGAUUCCUCAGCACCA
rfam:Dipodomys ordii contig_48886, whole genome shotgun sequence.